rnacentral:rRNA from 1 species
CCUACGGGUGGCAGCAGUGGGGAAUAUUGGGCAAUGGGCGCAAGCCUGACCCAGCAACGCCGCGUGAAGGAAGAAGGCCCUCGGGUUGUAAACUUCUUUUAUCAGGGACGAAACAAAUGACGGUACCUGAUGAAUCAGCCACGGCUAACUACGUUACAGCAGCCGCGGUAAUACGUAGGGGGCAAGCGUUCUCCGGAUUUACUGGGUGUAAAGGGCGUGGAGGCGGGAGAGCAAGUCAGACGUGAAAUUACAGGGCACAACCCUGGAACUGCGUUGGAAACUGUUCUUCUUGAGUGAUGGAGAGGCAGGCGGAAUUCCGUGUGUAGCGGGGAAAUGCGUAGAUAUACGGAGGAACACCAGUGGCGAAGGCGGCCUGCUGGACAUUAACUGACGCUGAGGCGCGAAAGCGUGGGGAGCAAACAGGAUUAGAUACCCGAGUAGUC